GCUAUAUCCCAUCAUGACCAGGUCUUUCUCUAUCUCUCUCUCUCUGGACAAAUGGAUGUUGAUUAGUUUCAUGAAAUUUAGGCUUUACUUGCGCUAGUUCCUAUAUAUUCUCUUCCAGUGACAAUCAGUUUAUAGAUAAAUCUUUCUCUAGUUUGGCAUAUUGUCUCAUCUGGUUGUGGUGUGCAAGCCUUCAUGUUGAAGAGGGCUGAUGAGGAGCCACUUGGUCAUGCAGCUGCCACUAUCACUGAUGUUGUUGAGAAUGCCGAGACCAACCAUGUAAUAAGUGAUGUGCAGAAGCGAGCUCUUCUUCAAGAAAUGAAAUAUUCUCUUGGGUGUCUUGACACUUUGUUUGGAAAUGCGACUCAAGCCUUGUGUGUAGAAGGAUGAAUUGAAGCAUGAAUGGCUUUGUUAAGUUGUUUUUUAUAGAUUGAAGUGGUUACAGUAAGUAACACCUAUCAAAAGCAUUGUUCGACUUUGACUCUCUGUUGCACAUGAUGCAUUAACUAGGAUGAUGAGUUGGGUUGUCAAAUGAGUUCGAGGCUUUUGAUAAUGUUAUUGAAUAAUGAAUCGGUAUCUCGUGGAAAGAACUUGAAUUGCUGUGUAUGCUUAAAUUCCAUGAGCCCUUCUCAAACUCUUGGCCCUACGACAGCUUCAGACAGUUUUAGUCACCGUUGCAGUAUCUGUGGUGCAACGGCUCACCUAAGCUGCUCUUCUAGUGUGCGCACAAGGAUUGCAAGUGUGUAUCCAUGAUGGGGUGUGAGCAUGUGAUGCACCAAUGGGGUGUCCGUUGGAAUGAGGUAACAGAGAGAUCAAACUGAUGAAGCUUCUUUCUGCAGCUAUUAUGAAGAGCCAUGUAGUGGGUCUUUUCUUGGUGGAUCCCCAAUAUGGUGCUGCUUGUGGUGUCAAAGACUGGAAUUGAGCAGCUUCCUCCGCCGGUGGAUUUUUGAGCUCCAUUACUCGGGGCCAAUACCAACUGGCAAGCUUGCUCAUCAACACCCACAACAGAACAAACAUUUGAAUUUACG